GUGCAUUCAAUUUUUCUUUUGGAAAUGGAAAUUACAUUUUAUCAUUGUCAUCCUAAGAGUAAUACAAGAUUUUGAGAAAAGUUUUGGUAAAAACAGAAAAAUGUUAGAAAAAAUUUAAAAAGUAAAAAAAAAAAAAACUUCCUCAUAGCAGAAACAAGGGUAAAGAAGGGAGGGAAAAGGGGAGAAAGGAAAAAAACUUGAUAUUGUUCCCGGAGAGAACAAAGUAUGGCUGCCUGCUCUUGAGGUCCGAAAACGAGAUGCAGACAAUUGGGAAAGAAGGGAGGUCAGAGUAACUCACCAGACCAACUCAAAGUUCUAAGCUUUUUUCUAGUGCUUGUAUAUAUUUAAAGCUCCGUGCUACGUGUGGGAUUGUAACUGCAAGUGGGAGUGUUGCAUUCAAUCUCUAUCUCAUCUUUAGCUAGGGACUAGGGUCUGGAAAGCUUUCUCGAGAGUCUUGGAAAGUUUCUUAAUCUUAAGACAGAAUGAGGUGUAUGUGUAAGAAUGCUUUUAUUAUUCCAUCAGAUUUCAGGGGCUGAGAAAACCCAGGCAGGUUCUUAAUGGGUUGGUUUUUGCAUUCCAGUUUUGUACUCAGGCACCAGUUUCUCCAGUUUUUUAAUGUUUAGCUUACACUUUCAUUAACGUUAUAGUAACGGGUUCUUGGAAACUGAUCGUUCUGUUUGCUAAUGGAAACCUGGCCUGUCACAAU
rnacentral:lncRNA from 10 species